rnacentral:rRNA from 1 species
AAUAGAUACCCGGGUAGUCCACGCCGUAAACGAUGAGUGCUAGGUGUUAGGGGGUUUCCGCCCCUUAGUGCUGCAGCUAACGCAUUAAGCACUCCGCCUGGGGAGUACGGUCGCAAGACUGAAACUCAAAGGAAUUGACGGGGGCCCGCGCAAGCGGUGGAGCAUGUGGUUUAAUUCGAAGCAACGCGAAGAACCUUACCAGGUCUUGACAUCCCGCUGACCGCCAUGGAGACAUGGCUUUCCCUUCGGGGACAGCGGUGACAGGUGGUGCAUGGUUGUCGUCAGCUCGUGUCGUGAGAUGUUGGGUUAAGUCCCGCAACGAGCGCAACCCUUGUCCUUAGUUGCCAUCAUUCAGUUGGGCACUCUAAGAAGACUGCCGUACAAAUACGGAGGAAGGUGGGGAUGACGUCAAAUCAUCAUGCCCCUUAUGACCUGGGCUACACACGUGCUACAAUGGGUGGUACAAAGGGCAGCGAACCCGCGAGGGGGAGCGAAUCCCAAAGAGCCGUCUCAGUUCGGAUUGUACUCUGCAA